CAAUAUAAGUGAUGGCGACCGGCGCACGGGUGAGUAACACGUAUCCAACCUGCCGAUAACUCGGGGAUAGCCUUUCGAAAGAAAGAUUAAUACCCGAUGGUAUAAUAAAGCCGCAUGGUUUAAUUAUUAAAGAAUUUCGGUUAUCGAUGGGGAUGCGUUCCGUUAGGCAGUUGGUGAGGUAACGGCCCACCAAACCUUCGAUGGAUAGGGGUUCUGAGAGGAAGGUCCCCCACAUUGGAACUGAGACACGGUCCAA
rnacentral:rRNA from 1 species